UACGUAGGGGGCAAGUGUUGUCCGGAAUCAUUGGGCGUAAAGAGCGUGUAGGCGGCCAGAUAAGUCCGCUGUGAAAACUCGAAGGCUCAACUUCGAGCUGUCGGCGGAAACUAAUCUGGCUAGAGUCCGGAAGAGGAGAGUGGAAUUCCUGGUGUAGCGGUGAAAUGCGCAGAUAUCAGGAAGAACACCCGUGGCGAAGGCGGCUCUCUGGGACGGUACUGACGCUGAGACGCGAAAGCGUGGGAGCGAACAGGAUAGA
rnacentral:rRNA from 1 species